AGUGAACGCUGGCGGUAGGCCUAACACAUGCAAGUCGAACGGCAGCACAGUAAGAGCUUGCUCUUACGGGUGGCGAGUGGCGGACGGGUGAGGAAUACAGCGGAAUCUACUUUUUGGUGGGGGAUAACGUAGGGAAACUUACGCUACUACCGCAUACGACCUACGGGUGAAAGCAGGGGAUCUUCAGACCUUGCGCGAAUGAAUGAGCCGAUGUGGGAUUAGCUAUUUGGCGGGGUAAAGGCCCACCAAGCCGACGAUCCGUAGCUGGUCUGAGAGGAUGAUCAGCCACACGGGAACUGAGCCACGGUCCAGACCCCUACGGGAGGCAGCAGUGGGGAAUAUUGGACAAUGGGCGCAAGCCUGACCCAGCCAUACCGCGUGGGUGAAGAAGGCCUUCGGGUUGUAAAGCCCUUUUGUUGGGAAAGAAAAGCAGCAGGUUAAUACCCCGCUGUUCUGACGGUACCCAAAGAAUAAGCACCGGCUAACUUCGUG
rnacentral:rRNA from 1 species